rnacentral:rRNA from 1 species
UACGUAGGGUGCAAGCGUUAAUCGGAAUUACUGGGCGUAAAGCGUGCGCAGGCGGUUUUGUAAGUCUGUCGUGAAAGCCCCGGGCUCAACCUGGGAAUUGCGAUGGAGACUGCAAGGCUUGAAUCUGGCAGAGGGGGUAGAAUUCCACGUGUAGCAGUGAAAUGCGUAGAGAUGUGGAGGAACACCGAUGGCGAAGGCAGCCCCCUGGGUCAAGAUUGACGCUCAUGCACGAAAGCCGUG